UGAGGAAUAUUGGUCAAUGGGCGGGAGCCUGAACCAGCCAAGUAGCGUGCAGGAUGACGGCCCUAUGGGUUGUAAACUGCUUUUGCGCGGGGAUAAAGUGCGCCACGUGUGGCUCAUUGCAGGUACCGCGCGAAUAAGGACCGGCUAAUUCCGUGCCAGCAGCCGCGGUAAUACGGAAGGUCCGGGCGUUAUCCGGAUUUAUGGGUUUAAAGGGAGCGUAGGCCGUCUGUUAAGCGUGUUGUGAAAUGUCGGGGCUCAACCUGGGCAUUGCAGCGCGAACUGGCAGACUUGAGUGCGCAGGAAGUAGGCGGAAUUCGUCGUGUAGCGGUGAAAUGCUUAGAUAUGACGAAGAACUCCGAUUGCGAAGGCAGCCUGCUGUAGCGUAACUGACGCUGAAGCUCGAAAGCGU
rnacentral:rRNA from 1 species